rnacentral:rRNA from 1 species
GACGUAGGGGGCUAGCGUUGUUCGGAAUUACUGGGCGUAAAGCGCGUGUAGGCGGUUGUCCAAGUUGGAUGUGAAAGCCUUGAGCUUAACUCAAGAAAUGCAUUCAGGACUGGAUGACUAGAGGACCGGAGAGGAUAGUGGAAUUCCCAGUGUAGUGGUGAAAUACGUAGAGAUUGGGAAGAACACCAGUGGCGAAGGCGGCUAUCUGGACGGUUUCUGACGCUAAGACGCGAAAGCGUGGGGAGCAAACAGG